rnacentral:lncRNA from 1 species
UAAACAACCUAGCUAGCUAGCUACUUUCUUUGCCUUAAUUAAGUUUCAUCAUGAUAAUAUGAAAAUCCACAUUAUCACCGACUGUCCCUAGCGCAAGUGGCAAAGGACUUGGUGGUUGGUACCCGAGGUCCCAAGUUCGAAUCUUAGUUGAUUCACAUUUCCAGUUGAUUCACAUUUCCAGCUAAGUUUAUUUCUAAAUGAAAUAAAUGAAGCAGAUAACAUGCUGCCUAUCUCUUAAAAAAGAAGAAAAUUUACAUUACGCAAUUAUACC